UACGUAGGGGGCAAGCGUUGUCCGGAAUUAUUGGGCGUAAAGCGCGCGCAGGCGGUCUUUUAAGUCUGGUGUCUAAGUGCGGGGCUCAACCCCGUGAUGCACUGGAAACUGGGAGACUUGAGUGCAGAAGAGGAGAGCGGAAUUCCACGUGUAGCGGUGAAAUGCGUAGAGAUGUGGAGGAACACCGAUGGCGAAGGCAGCUCGCUGGGACGUUACUGACGCUGAGACGCGAAAGCGUGGGGAGCAAACAGG
rnacentral:rRNA from 1 species